CUGGCCCCGGUUCACGGCGGACCACGACCCGGCGGCC
rfam:Frankia asymbiotica strain NRRL B-16386 contig_35, whole genome shotgun sequence.